rnacentral:rRNA from 1 species
CUACGGGGGGCACCAGUGGGGAAUAUUGGACAAUGGGGGAAACCCUGAUCCAGCAACGCCGCGUGGAGGAUGACACUUUUCGGAGCGUAAACUCCUUUUAUAUAGGAAGAAGAUGACGGUACUAUAUGAAUAAGCGCCGGCUAACUCCGUGCCAGCAGCCGCGGUAAUACGGAGGGCGCAAGCGUUACUCGGAAUCACUGGGCGUAAAGAGCGUGUAGGCGGAUUAAAAAGUCAGAAGUGAAAUCCUAUAGCUUAACUAUAGAACUGCUUCUGAAACUCUUAAUCUAGAAUAUGGGAGAGGUAGAUGGAAUUUCUGGUGUAGGGGUAAAAUCCGUAGAGAUCAGAAGGAAUACCGAUUGCGAAGGCGAUCUACUAGAACAUUAUUGACGCUGAGACGCGAAAGCGUGGGGAGCAAACAGGAUUAGAUACCCCCGUAGUC